CCUACGGGCGGCUGCAGUAGGGAAUAUUGCGCAAUGGAGGAAACUCUGACGCAGCGACGCCGCGUGCGGGAUGAAGGCCUUCGGGUUGUAAACCGCUUUCAGUAGGGAAGAAGCGAAAGUGACGGUACCUACAAAAGAAGCACCGGCUAACUAUGUGCCAGCAGCCGCGGUAAUACAUAGGGUGCAAGCGUUGUCCGGAAUUAUUGGGCGUAAAGAGCUCGUAGGUCGUUUGUUACGUCGGAUGUGAAAAUCUGAGGCUCAACCUCAGACCUGCAUUCGAUACGGGCAAACUAGAGUUUGGUAGGGGAGACUGGAACUCCUGGUGUAGCGGUGGAAUGCGCAGAUAUCAGGAGGAACAUCAACGGCGAAGGCAGGUCUCUGGGCCAAUACUGACACUGAGGAGCGAAAGCGCGGGGAGCGAACAGGAUUA
rnacentral:rRNA from 1 species